GGAGUGGAGCAGCAACGCUGAAAGGUGUCGAAUCGGGUACCCGAUGCCGACAACACAUCCCGGUCUUGACGGUCUACCACAGCGGUGUAGAAGCAGACCGAGGCGCCCUACCCCUGUGAUAUAGAAUAACAGUUUUCGUUGGUGGAACUGAUUGAAAGCCAUUACGUGCCUAACUGAGACUGGAGGCGUCUCGUGGUGGGCCCUGGAGAUUCACUGCAUCUUCGCGUAUCUAAGCAGCAACACGUACUACACCUGAGUCUUCGAUGAGCUUCAGGCGACUCCUGGGCUGCCAUAGAAGUCGCCAGGGUCGAGCGAAUCAACUUGUCCCCUUCCGAAGGGCGCAGUUCUUCGAAUACGGUUGUGCUGGCGGGGGAUAGGGCGUGGUGUCACUCGCUGGCGUAGCGCGGUGCUUCUGUAAUACCGCAGUGGAAACGUCUGCGGUAACCGCUCGACAGGAAGAAUUAUUUUCCGUCUUGGCUGUCGUGCACGAGCUCCGGACAUAGCCUCGAGUAUUGCUGCAGUAUGAGGACGUAUGCAUGGGCGGCGCGGCAGUUGCCUGAGGCUGCCAGAAGGCGUGGCAAGCAGCUCAUACGGUGCCCCCCGAUCAGGCGCAUUGUGCGCCUUUGCGGGUUUGGUAAACAGAGUCACGGGUUGAACCAGUUUCUGUUCGAGUACGGUACCCAAUAGAAUCGGACGGGAUGGGGUGGUGUUAUAGCGCGUUGUGCAGAAGACGUCUUCGGAGUGCACGUACCGCGUUUCGUUGAGCGUCGCGGCUGUCUGGUUUUGUGGGUUUGGGUGUACCGUCGUCCCUCACCGACUGGGCUGUUGAUUCUACAGUUUGCGAUGUAGUGGUGGUUUGUGGGUGGUACGGAGUAAAAGUGCCAGGUGGCAUUGCCUCAGAGUUGUUUCGCGUCGUGUGCGUCGACUAGGGCCUGCAUGCAGUCUUGCAUUUGUCUGGUGCAGUGCACGUGCUGAGUGCAGCGUAUGGUGUGGGAGCGUGUGAGCGUGGAGGGGAUGUGGCGAUGUGGUUUCAAUUGCAGUGUAUAAAAACAGAGCAUUACGUGUAACGGUGGCAAGUGCAUUUUGGCAGAACUACUGUGCUGUGGUUCCUGCUGGCCUGGGGUACGGGCGCCAGCAUGCUCGGCGAUGAUCACGAAGUGAGCAUGGUGCCGCGAGUCUACAGAAUUGUGUUGUGUGUCGGAACAUUUGGACUGAAUGUGGGUGUUGGAUAUCUGUUGCGUCGAUAGUGCGGGAGGAGGCACCAGGCGUCCCCCAUUUGAUUCGAGUUCGUGAUGGGACGUGCGUGAGGCAGUCGGUACUUUUUUGAAUCUCCCGUUGGAUGAAUUGUGGCAUUGCUGCACAGGCUGUAGGCACAUGAUUGAACGUGGGUUCGGGUGUUGUGUAGACGUAGUGCAGGAGGGAAUGAAGGGGCGAGUGAAGAAGGAACGUGGGGAGGGCGAUGGCAGUGAGGAGUGGCGAGAGGGAAAGGCGUUUAUACGUUGUGUCUGUUGCUUGGUAGGGCGCAGAGCAAGUAGACGAGGCGACACACAUUGGAAGGGCUCGGGCGAAUUGCGUGGCGGGACAGUGGCAAGGAGUUUUGGUAUGGGUUGAAUAUGGUCGUGGUGGUGAAUGCGCCUUGACGUAGGCGCUCGGUGAGCUUUGCGAGGGGAGCGCAGAUUGGAUGAGGGGAGCAGCAAAGGUAUGGCAUUGGGUGACGCGUGCUCACUAGACGCCGCGUGUCAUCCGAUGCCAUCGCCUGCGCAGCGCGUUGACAUCUGUUGCGUGAAGGAAUAGGUCAGCUAGUAACGGGGCGCCACUCCGGUGGCAGCCAAACGUGAAUGGAUUUCCACCUUUUCGGACAGAUCUCGUUGGGCCCACAGCGUGGCCACAACCUCGCCGUUGUCUUUUACGUGUUCAGGCAGCAAAGGUAAGUGGUCACGAAUUUGCUGUUAAAAAAGACAGACUACGAGUCCAUCGCUUGUGAGUGUUGGAAAGCUGUAUGCGAAUAGGACUGGCGAUUCGGGAGGUCUGUGAGUUUGUCUAUGGCUUCGAGACGUCGGGUUCGGAUACGGCUGAGGGCGUCGGGGUGUGGACAGCGCAUCACUUCUGGAAGGUUGAGAGAGCCAGAGGAUGAGCUGCAGGUGCGACCGGUGAGGGGCCACUUCAGCAGUAUAUCCGUGCAUGCUUCUAGAUGACCUGUGAGUGAGUGUGUUCCUCUGCAGAUUGAGGAGGUAUGCUCGUUUUUUGGGGUUUUGCGAUGGACAUGCUAAGGCAGGCGGCAGCUGUCCAUGUGUAUGGUCCGGCGGGUGGAUAUGAGGGCGCAUGCCGGAUUCUGCACGAGGAGGCUUCAGCAAGGGGCAAUGAAUGAAAGUGAGAGUCGGUUUGGGGGUUGAGACAUUGGCGCCGGCAAAUUGAGUUGUGGCACGAGCGUAACCGUUUUGGAGUUGGUUUGUUCUGAGUACUCGCUCGCUCGUAGAUAGGCACCAGUAUUUCGGUCCUGUGUUCGUAUUGUGUGUACACUGGUUUUGAUUUUGGUGAGGGUGUUCAAGGAAGUCAAACGGAAUGUUGUAGUGGGGAACAGGAAAACGUAACUUCACGAGAGGGCUAGAGCCGAUGCGCCGUAUAUUCCUGGAGGGUGCGAACGCUGGUGGGUAUCGGUGUGCUGCAUGAGUGCCGACCGCUUCGCUGUCCUGCUCAAUGGGGACCCAGGUUUGGCGGGAGAUGUUGCCGUGACUUGUUCACACAGCUGACACGGUGAAGGUUUGGGUCUCGCAACCAGAUCGUAGGCCGUCUGUAGAGGGUCGGAAGAGGUGGUGCCCAGUGAAGUCCAGGCGACGUCACCGCAAACAGAAGCAUGGUGACGACCCGUGGGUGGGGGGGAGACCGUUGGGGUAGAGAAGCAGCAGGUUGUCGGGGGUUUGACAAGCGACCACCAAAUAUGGGACCUGUGAUUCCCUGUUAGGUUGUGCUGCGACAGAGAUCUAGAGCACCGUUGAGAGGGAGUAACGGGUUAUGCUGUUAGGUUGCAGAGGGAUUCGCAUUUAGGAUGUUCUGUUGUAGCAGCCGAGAGGUUAUGACAAGGAGGCCAAAGAGGAUGCUAUGAGGUGGCGUCGUGUGUGGGCGUGUUUGUCAGGAGCGCCGAGCUUGCCGGAACCAUGUGCCGCACGGUUCAGCGUAGGGGGAGGGGUGUAUUGAGUUGGCGUGCCGUUCUUUUAUGCGGUGAUGUUGGGACCACACUGUUAUAUGUGUAAUGCGGCGGAUUGACGGGGUGCCAUUGCUACAUGCGCCGGCCAGAGUUUACCUGUUUUUCGUCUUCAGCUGAAAGACGUACGGCAUCUGAGCCUUUGAGUAAACUCACGAGAGGAUGGUCUCUAAUGCUGCGGCAUAGUGGAACGUGCAAAUAGUCCGAGCGACUCCCGAAGGUUGCGGUGUCUUUAAAUAGGGUUGUGGUCGACCGGGAUGGGCCACUCAUGGUUCCGGUCGGCGUGACUAGCUGCGUUUGUGUGAUCGUAGAGGAGCCUGGUGAGAAUGCGGGCUGACGGGGGAGAGGGGGAGGAGAUUCACGCCCGUAUAGCUGGAAGCGCAUGCCCUCGGGUGAUGACAUAGCUCGACGUGUUUCUCCGGAUGGAGCAAGUAUGCAUGGAUUCCUGGGCAGUGGAUGCAGCAGUGUAGCCGGGAUACCAGCCCUGAGCAUCUGACCACUCGAUCAGCCGGUUUGUGUCGCUUUGCGGAUUGUGGAAAGAGACUGACAGUUCGAGUUUGUUGUUUGAUCCGGGACACGAUUAGCUGGAUGGCAACGAGACGGAUACGAAGCGCAAGUAUGUGCGGAUGAGGACCCGAUGUGGCGGACGCAUCAGUCAAGCACCCCGUAAAUAGGCGAUUGUCACGUGGUAUGCCGUAAUGUGUUUCGACAGCAGUACGCGGAAUGUGCAUCCGUGUCCGCGUGGCGGGGCCUCCUGGUAUUCCUUGGACGUGCAUCGCAGGGAGUAAGGCGGGUGAAUGCUUUCAAGUCACAACAAGAGGGCUUCAGUUUUCUAAAGGCGUUGAGUUGCGACUACCCCGAUGCCGUCGGAUGGCGGGCGAAGGCGUAGGAUGGGGUCGUUUAAAUCCAGGCCAGUAGGUUGAACAUUUUUCCGAUCUCGCGGUGGAGGCCAGAGGGAGGGACGCUAUACGUGGCGCUGCCGUUGCACGGUGGAAUGACGGCAUAUGAGGGACGUCCUGGACUGGAGGGGACACACUCAACCGCUCGAGUGCACUCGACUCGGGGCAUGACGUGGUGUGGCACCGCUCGUUCUCCAGCUCCCGGCAGUAGGCGCAGGCGGCGCGAAUGUGUUGCAUGCAGCCAAACACGAGUGCCAGGCAGCUCAUGAGGCACCCCCCGAUCAGGCGCAUUGUGCGCCCUUGCGGGUUUGGUAAACAGAGUCACGGGUUGAACCAGUUUCUGUUCGAGUACGGUACCCAAUAGAAUUGGACGGGAUGGGGGGAUGUUAUAGCGCGUUGUGCAGAAGACGUCUUCGGAGUGCACGUACCGCGUUUCGUUGAGCGUCGCGGCCGUCUGGUUUUGUGGGUUUGGGUGUACCGUCGUCCCUCACCGACUGGGCUGUUGAUUCUACAGUUUGCGAUGUAGUGGUGGUUUGUGGGUGGUACGGAGUAAAAGUGCCAGGUGGCAUUGCCUCAGAGUUGUUUCGCGUCGGGUGCGUCGACUAGGGCUUGCAUGCAGUCUUGCAUUUGUCUGGUGCGGUGCACGUGCUGAGUGCAGCGUAUGGUGUGGGAGCAGCGUGUGAGCGUGGAGGGGAUGUGGCGAUGUGGUUUCAAUUGCAGUGUAUAAAAACAGAGCAUUACGUGUAACGGUGGCAAGUGCAUUUUGGCAGAACUACUGUGCUGUGGUUCCUGCUGGCCUGGGGUACGGGCGCCAGCAUGCUCGGCGAUGGUCACGAAGUGAGCAUGGUGCCGCGAGUCUACAGAAUUGUGUUGUGUGUCGGUACAUUUGGACUGAAUGUGGGUGUUGGAUAUCUGUUGCGUCGAUAGUGCGGGAGGAGGCACCAGGCGUCCCCCAUUUGAUUCGAGUUCGUGAUGGGACGUGCGUGAGGCAGUCGUUGCUCUUGUGAAUCUACGCGUUGGAUGAAUUGUGGUAUUGCUGCACAGGCUGUAGGCACAUGAUUGAACGUGGGUUCGGGUGUUGUGUAGACGUGGUGCAGGAGGGAAUGAAGGGGCGAGUGAAGAAGGAACGUGGGGAGGGCACCGGCGGCAACGGGGGGCGGAACAAAAACACGUGUGUAAUGUCGUUGCGCUUGGGUGAUAGGUUGCAGAGCAAGUAGAAGGGUCAGUGGCAUGGGACCGACGCGGGCCUAUCGAGGGAUGGGGCGGUAAUGGGUAGUUAGGAAAGGUUGAAGAUGAUCUGGCUCUCAAACGUGAUUUGUUGUAUCUAUUUGAAUGGCUAUGCGAGGGAGGGAAUGUGUGAGCAUGGGGGGAGCAGCAGGGAUGUGGAAUCCGGAGACAGUAUGCCCACUGGAAGUCAUUGGCGCCGAUGGCAGGUCAUACGGAGCGUCUGGAACAUGUCUCUGGACGCAGUAUUCCAGAGAGCCACGAGGCGGUACUUCGACGCCAGUUCGGUGUGACCGGCUCCCCACCGGUUGGGACGGACCUUGGUGAGUAGCAUCCUGGCCGCUCCCGCUUUGCUGGCUUUUGAUGCUCAGGCUGUGGAAGUAUGCAAUCAUGAAUUGUGUGUUGACGAGUGCAUGCAAGAGCAUUGCUUGGGAUCGUUGGAGCUGUAUGCGAGUGGGACUAUCGAGUCGGGAGGAGUAUGCGUGUGAUGAUAACUGUGAGGCGUAGGCGUGGGAGCACGCUGUUUUGGUAGGGGGUCGCUGGACCCAUAUUUGUUUGUUGGACGCAAGGGCAGGGCAGACAGGCAGGGGGCGCAAGGCGGACGGGCGACGUCAGCAACGCCGUCGUACCAAAAGUUCCGAUAAGGCCGCCGCGGUUUUCUUCAGACGGUGAUGCAUCGCAAAGUCGUCGUGCCACGUCUCCUGAGAGGCCAGGACUGAUGUCGUCAGCUACUGCAAGUACGUCCACCUCACGCACGAUUCCGUGGAGACUUUUAGGAGAGCAGGUUAGGACUAAUGCGGGGACGUCGUGUAUUGGGUGGGGUCUUGUGUUUGAUCGAAGACGUCGAUAGCAGCUACACGUCAUGUAGCGUAUCGUCCGCCCGAGUCGAGAAUAGUAGGGUAGCGCGUUGUAACACGCCCGUUCGUACAGCACGACCAGACGAACCUUGUUCUCGCAGAGCAAUCGACACUCGGAGGUCGCCACAACUGUAUCUGAUCUGUGGUUUUCUAAAAAAAUGGUUUUUCGUCUGUCCCGUGCUUUGUGGAUCUAGUUUUUGCGUCAUGCAUUUGUUGAGUUCCCGGUAUUCCGCGGAUGAGCAGUAUUGCGUCUCAUUUCCAAGCACCUCGUGACGGUCACCGGUGCAUUGCGGCGCUAAUGUGGGACAGGCCUUCGAGAGAAUAGCCGGUUUCUUGGAGAACACGGUUGGCCGUGAGGGGGGUGAUAUCAUAUGCUCCCAUACUCGGCGCGACUGGGGAAUGUGAUCGGGAAUCACAGAGUGUAAGCCAUCGCUGGAGGAUUUGUUGAUUUUUGGACGGGACGAUGUUUGACGUGCGUACGGUUAACCCGGGGCUGCUCCCGGCCACGACAUUACGAGCCACGGAUGAGACCGGAAAACACAGGACGCCAGCAGCUGUUCGUCGCCAGUGGUGCGACGAGGCGAUAGCUCGCGAGUUGUCUGUUGGAGGGAACUGCACGGGUGUCUUACAGGGAGAGAGAGGGUGACACGGGGGUAAGACGGGUUGAGUCUGGUCGUGGGGUGGAAUUCGAUUAGGCAUGAGUAGUUGGCGGGGUUUGGGAGGGACAGAAUGUGUGAGCGUGAGUGAAGCAGCAGAUAUGUGGACUCCAGAGACAGGAUGCCCAUUCGAAAUCAUUGGCUCCGAUGGUAGGUCAUACGGAGCGUCUGGAAUAUGUCUGUGGAAGGAGUAUUCCAGAGAGCCACGAGGCGGUACUUCGACGCCAGUUCGGUGUGACCGGCUCCCCACCGGUUGGGACGGACCUUGGUGAGUAGCAUCCAGGCCGCUGCCGCUUGGAUGGUUUUUGGUGCUCAGGCUCUGGAAGUAUGCAAUCAUGAAUUGUGUGUUGACGAGUGCAUGCAAGAGCAUUGCUUGGGAUAGUUGGCGAGCUGGAUGCGGGUAGGACUAUCGAGUCGGGAGGAAUGUGAGUCUGACGAUAACUAUGAGGCGUAGGCUUGAGUGCAGGCUCGGGGCGUCAGCGAGGUGACAGCGUAUUAUACUUGGCGUGCAGGACGGGGAAGGUGGAUGGCCGGCAGGCAUGACGACAGUGGCGGUCCCUCAGCAACGCCUUUAUCCCACAGCUUAGUGGGGGGCCAAUGUGGGUUUUAUCAGGCUCUGGCAGUACGCACUCGUCACGGGAGAUACAGUGCGAACGCGCAAACUCGUCGACGGGCAACUGGACGGGUGGUGUGUCACGGGCGGGGUCUUGUAUUUGAUUGGGGACGUCGACGGCAGUCAUACUUCAUGUAGCGCCGGAUCCACCCAAGACACGGACACUAGGGUAAUGUGCUGUAGCACACCUGCUCGUACAGGGUGACUAGGCCAACGUUGUCCUCGCAGAGCAAUCGAUACCCAGUGAUCUUUAGAAGUGUGUCUCAAAUGGCUCUUGAGGUCGUCGUUCUGUCCCGCCUUUCGUUAGUCUUUCAGAUCGCUCAUGCGUUUUUGUUUUGGUGCCGAUAGUAGGAGCGGGGUUGCGUCUGGGCCGGGGUGCAACGUGCAGCGUGGCUUUCAUCGUAUUUUCUUCGUACGUUAGCGCAGACGGUUGUCCCUGCAGUUGGACUCUGGAGGCGUUUGGAUGCGGAGUUUGUCGAGAAGGCUGGAGGCAGGUGGAUGGCUGGAGAGAGGCGGCUACUUCGUGUGUGUCAAUCAGGCGUGCCGGUGUCCGGACAUUCGUUUUCUGCCAGGUGUUGUCGGGUGUUCUCUCACUAAUGGAACAUCAGUGAUGAGAGGCAGCUGAGUCGCAACGAUGUGUCUUCGUGUUGAUCGUGGACAGGAACGGCUCAGGCGUAGUCGCUGCGUUGGCACACGCUCUUGCGGUUAUAACUCUCACGUGGCUCGCCAACGCCUCACGGCUCCCUAUCAGCAAGCCCCGAGUCUGUUCGCCGCUGCCACAACCCACGUCUUAGUACGACAUGCGUGACGCUAUUCGGUGUCCCCAAUAGGCUGUAGGCAACUGGUCAUGUCGAUGCUGGAAUCGAUGGUGCACGAACGUUGAUUCGAGAGUGAAUGAAUCAGAAGUGUCUACCCUCUGCGCCAGCAGGUGCGGCGGUGACACCGGACCGCAAACGGACGGUAGCAGCUGGUCGCCGCGUUUUAUAGGAAGGGACGACAGCUCAUUAAUUAGAACGUCUCUGCAAGGGAGUCUCCCGGGCAACUGAUGGGGGGCGGCAAUGCCACAGCGAUAGGAAGGGGUGAGUAUGGGCAUGGGUGGGAGAGUGGUGUGGCAUAUGAGGUCGACGGGCUUUGCGAGAGACGGGAUGUUAGCAUGAAGGGAGUGGCGGGGGUGUCGAGGUGGAUGAUAUGUGCGCGUUCGAGAGCGUGUGCGUCGAUGCAGGGCCUCAUGGGGAGCAUUGGAAGUGGUCGCGAGAACCAAUACUCUGCUGAGAGACGACGUGGCGCCGCGAUACCAGCUGGGGCGUGACUGCUUGUUCGCUGUCGGUGUUUUGAAGCACCUGGGUGGAUGAGCAGCCUGGCGUUCACCCACCGUUACCUUGAUCCGAUUCAGGCUGGCACAGUGAGUGGUUAGGGAGUUGCUGUUGAAAAAGGAAUGAGAGGCCAUUGGUGGGGGGUACCGGUGGCGAACUGUGUGCGGGUGGGACCAGCGACUGUGCCGAUAUAUGAGUGCGUUAAGCACUGUGAGUCGAGGCGCUCGAGCCAGCGGCGGAAGUCGGCGCGCACUCCGUCUGCACCAACUGCGUCAUUGACUGUCGCCUUCCCUGUUGCACCACACCUCGGCGGUGAUUGGGAGUACUGGAGGAUAUGCUGGCCACGUGUGGAAUGCGAGUGGCAUGUGGGUGCACGAAACAAGAAGCCAGAGCCCCCGUUCUGAGGGACGUGAGUGCGCCAUGAGGAAAGCCGUGUCCGUGUUGAAUUGGAUGAUCUCGAGGGCAGACGUGGUGUCUGGUUGACUCUGCGGCUCUCGUGUCGGCUCAGUGGCAUCGGGCUGCCGGUGGAUGGUGUUUGUGAGUUGCAGGGGUAGUGCGGGACGGGUCGCCGCGCACAGGUCGGUUUUGUGGAGGGCACGGUUUGCUGCGAGAUCCAGGCGUGGCGCAUUUGGCGAAUUGUGGUCUUCAUUCACAGCCGGUAGGCAGAUGAUGAAAAAAGCCGGUUUGUGGAAUGUGGCACGGGGCGGUGCGUGCAUUUUGGGGGGAGGUGGGGGGGGUUGAAUCGUGUGCGUUUCCCCGCCAAGGCAGCCGGAUUGAGGAUCGACACCGGAGGAAGGAGGUCCAACAACAGCAGUCCAUUGCCCUCAGGACGGGGAAGCGGCGAUGGCUUGUGAGAUUGCCUGUGCAGGGGAACUACGCCGAGUGGUUCAAUAAGGGGCGGGAGAGUGGCACAGAAGAAAUAGGAAGAGUUGAGUCUGGCCUUGGGGUCAGCGGCGGCGUGGCGCCUCCAUUCGACCGGCUGUCGGUGGAACUGGCUGUUAGCAUGGGGGCAGCAGCGGAGACGUGAUAUCGGGUGACGGUAUACUCACUAGACGUCAUGUGCAUUGCUGUCGGAUCUUAGGGAGCGCCCUGGACGUUUGGUGGCGGGAAGCAGUAGGCUGUUGAGAAACGAGAUGAGACGCCAAUGGCAACACUGCGAGACGGACGUCUCACCCUUUCAGGCGGAAUCGGGUAUUUGCAGAUGACGUUCAACGGUUGGCCUCGGUCGACCAUUUGACUUGUAUGUGUCCAGGCUGAGGCGGUAAGUAAUGCGAGGCAUGGUGUUGAUGACGAACCGCUAUAUGGCUGCUUGGAAGCGAUAACGAAAACUAUCACAAAGUGAUCAGCGAAUCUGCCGACCUCCGCAUAGGCUGAGGGCAAACAGGCAGAGGUGUCGGAGCCGGCUGUGGGGGCGGGGCACAUACGGUGUGUUGAGGGGGGGUUGAGGUCUGAGGUUGCAGGUUAUAGUCGGUGUGAGGUAUGCUUCGGGUGGAAGGAAUCGGCGGCUAGACCUGGUAGUACAUCGGGUCGCUUGACUAGUCGUGUGCUGGGUGUAGUCUGCCUGGAUCAGUGAGCAAGAAGGACAGCGGAGCUGGUGGACGCCCUUGCGUAGAUGCAGUGCCCCAGUGCGUCGUGAGUGGCGCCCGACAUCAUUUUUGUCAUGUAGCAGAACACUGGGUCUGCACAACCGUGUACACGUCGCCUUCGUUGUGCACGAGCGGCGAGGCUGCGUUGGACGAGCGGCGAUUCUACGUCCGCCGUUGCUGUCAUACUGUGACAGCUGGACCAUCGGACUAUGUUGUGGAGCGCCAUGCACACGUCUUGGUGCCCCCGCGACUGCCUCAAGGUGUGCCGGCGGCGCAGUCCAUUCGCACCAACUGCGUCAUUGACUGUCGCCUUCCCUGUUACACCACACCUCGGCGGUGAUUCGGAGUACUGGAGGAUAUGCUGGCCACGUGUGGAAUGCGAGUGGCAUGUGGGUGCACGAAACAAGAAGCCAGAGCCCCCGUUCUGAGGGACGUGAGUGCGCCAUGAGGAAAGGCGUGUCCGUGUGGAUUUGGAUGAUCCCGAGGGCAGACGUGGUGUCUGGUUGACUCUGCGGCUCUCGUGUCGGCUCAGUGGCAUCGGGCUGCCGGUGGAUGGUGUUUGUGAGUUGCAGGGGUAGUGCGGGACGGCCGCCGGGCACGGGCCGGUUUUGUGGAGGGCACGGUUUGCUGCGAGAUCCAGGCGUGGCGCAUUUGGCGAAUUGUGGUCUUCAUUCACAGCCGGUAGGCAGAUGAUGAAAAAAGCCGGUUUGUGGAAUGUGGCACGGCGCGGUGCGUGCAUUUUGGGGGGAGGGGGGGGGGGUUGAAUCGUGUGCGUGUCGUCGCCAAGGCAGCCGGAUUGAGGAUCGACACUGGAGGAAGGAGGUCCAACAACAGCAGUCCAUUGCCCUCAGGACGGGGAAGCGGCGAUGGCUUGUGAGAUUGCCUGUGCAGGGGAACUACGCCGAGUGGUUCAAUAAGGGGCGGGAGAGUGGCACAGAAGAAAUAGGAAGAGUUGAGUCUGGCCUUGGGGUCAGCGGCGGCGUGGCGCCUCCAUUCGACCGGCUGUCGGUGGAACUGGCUGUUAGCAUGGGGGCAGCAGCGGAGACGUGAUAUCGGGUGACGGUAUACUCACUAGACGUCAUGUGCAUUGCUGUCGGAUCUUAGGGAGCGCCCUGGACGUUUGGUGGCGGGAAGCAGUAGGCUGUUGAGAAACGAGAUGAGACGCCGAUGCCAACACCGCGAGACGGACGUCUCACCCUUUCAAGCGGAGUCGGGUAUUUGCAGAUGACGUUCAACGGUUGGCCUCUGUCGAUCGUUUGACUUGUACCUGUCCAGGCUGAGGCGGUAGGUAAUGCGGAGAAUGGUGCUGAUGACGGACCGGGAGCCGGCUGCUUGGAAGCGCCAACGAACUCUAUCGCAAUGUGGCCAGCGAGUCGGCUGACAUACGCAUUGACUGAGGACGACCAGGCGGGAGAGUCGAAGCAGGCUGUGGGGCUGGUGGCGAAAAGAGGGUGUCGACGGGGGGUUGAGGUCUGAGGUUGCAGGUUAUAGUCGGUGUGAGGUGCCCUUCGGGUGGAAGGAAUCGGCGGCUACACCUGGCAGUAUCUCGGUCGCUUGACUAGUCGUGUGCUGGGUGUAGUCUGCCUGGAUCAGUGAGCAAGAAGGACAGCGGAGCUGGUGGACGCCCUUGCGUAGAUGCAGUGCCCCAGUGCGUCGUGAGUGGCGCCCGACAUCAUUUUUGUCAUGUAGCAGAACACUGGGUCUGCACAACCGUGUACACGUCGCCUUCGUUGUGCACGAGCGGCGAGGCUGCGUUGGACGAGCGGCGAUUCUACGUCCGCCGUUGCUGUCAUACUGUGACAGCUGGACCAUCGGACUAUGUUGUGGAGCGCCAUGCACACGUCUUGGUGCCCCCGCGACUGCCUCAAGGUGUUCCGGCGGCGCAGUCCAUUCGCACCAACUGCGUCAUUGGGAGUACUGGAGGAUAUGCUGGCCACGUGUGGAAUGCGAGUGGCAUGUGGGUGCACGAAACAAGAAGCCAGAGCCCCCGUUCUGAGGGACGUGAGUGCGCCAUGAGGAAAGGCGUGUCCGUGUGGAUUUGGAUGAUCCCGAGGGCAGACGUGGUGUCUGGUUGACUCUGCGGCUCUCGUGUCGGCUCAGUGGCAUCGGGCUGCCGGUGGAUGGUGUUUGUGAGUUGCAGGGGUAGUGCGGGACGGCCGCCGGGCACGGGCCGGUUUUGUGGAGGGCAAGCUUGGCUGUGAGAUCCAGGCGUGGCGCAUUUGGCGAAUUGUGGUCGUGAUUCACAGACGGUAGGCAGAUGAUGAACGGUUUGUGGAAUGUGGCACGGGGUGGUGCGUGUAUAGUGGGGUGGGGGGUGGUUGAAUCGUGGGCGUUUCCCCGCCAAGGCAGCCGGAUUGACAGUCAGUAACGUAAUUCGGAAGGCUGACAGCAGCCGGUCGCCGCACGAUUGCCUGAGAGGGGGACUACAACGGCGACGUACGGGGAGGUACGGUGGCUGGAGAUAGAAUGGAAUUAGUCUGGAUUUGGGGUCGGCUGGCACUUGGCACAUGCAGUCGGCGGGCUUUGCGAGGGAGGGGAUGUGUGAGAAUGAGGGGAGCAGCAGAGAUGUGGAAUCCGGAGACAGUAUGCCCAUUCGAAGUCAUCGGCUCCGAUGGUAGGUCAUACGGAGCGUCUGGAAUAUGUCUGUGGAAGGAGUAUUCCAGAGAGCAACGAGGCGGUACUUCGACGCCAGUUCGGUGUGACCGGCUUCCCACCAGUUGAGACGGACCUUGGUGAGUAGCAUCCAGGCCGCUGCCGCUUGGAUGGUUUUUGGUGCUCAGGCUCUGGAAGUAUGCAAUCAUGAAUUGUGUGUUGACGAGUGCAUGCAAGAGCAUUGCUUGGGAUAGUUGGCGAGCUGGAUGCGAGUAGGACUAUCGAGUCGGGAGGAAUGUGAGUCUGACGAUAACUACCAGGCGGAGGCUUGAGAGCAGGCUGGGGGCGUCAGCGAGGUGACAGCGUAUUGGGCUUGGCGUGCAGGACGGGGAAGGUGGAUGGCCGGCAGGCAUGACGACAGUGGCGGUCCCUCAGCAACGCCUUUAUCCCACAGCUUGGAACGGCUUAGGCGCAGUCGCUGCGCUGGCACACGCUCUUGCGGUUAUAAAUCUCACGUGGCUCGCCAACGCCUCACGGCUCCCUAUCAGCAAGCCCCGAGUCUGUUCGUCGCUGCCACAACCCACGUCUUAGUACGACAUGCGUGACGCUAUUCGGUGUCAACACUGGCCUCAUGGGGAGCAUUGGAAGUGGUCGCGAGAACCACUAGUCUGCUGGGAAGACGACAUGUCGCCGCGACACCAGCUGGAGCGUGACUGCUUGUUCGCUGUCGGUGUUUUGAAGCACCUGGGUGGAUGAGCAGCCUGGCUUUUACCCAUCGUUGUCUUGUUCCGAUUCAGGCUGGCAUUGGUUCCCGGUAUUCCGCGGAUGAGCAAUAUUGCGUCUCAUUUCCAAGCACCUCGUGACGGUCACCGGUGCAUUGCGGCGCUAAUGUGGGACAGGCCUUCGAGAGAAUAGCCGGUUUCUUGGAGAACACGGUUGGCCGUGAGGGGGGUGAUAUCAUAUGCUCCCAUACUCGGCGCGACUGGGGAAUGUGAUCGGGAAUCCCAGAGUGUAAGCCAUCGCUGGAGGAUUUGUUGAUUUUUGGACGGGACGAUGUUUGACGUGCGUACGGUUAACCCGGGGCUGCUCCCGGCCACGACAUUACGAGCCACGGAUGAGACCGGAAAACACAGGACGCCAGCAGCUGUUCGUCGCCGGUGGUGCGACGAGGCGAUAGCUCGCGAGUUGUCUGUUGGAGGGAACUGCACGGGUGUCUUACAGGGAGAGAGAGGGUGGCACGGGGGUAAGACGGGUUGAGUCUGGUCGUGGGGUGGAAUUCGAUUAGGCAUGAGUAGCUGGCGGGGUUUGGGAGGGACAGAAUGUGUGAGUGUGAGUGAAGCAGCAGAUAUGUGGACUCCAGAGACAGGAUGCCCAUUCGCAGUCAUCGGCUCCGAUGGUAGGUCAUACGGAGCGUCUGGAAUAUGUCUGUGGAAGGAGUAUUCCAGAGAGCCACGAGGCGGUACUUCGACGCCAGUUCGGUGUGACCGGCUCCCCACCGGUUGGGACGGACCUUGGAGCAGGGCGGAUACAAGGCGGACGGGCGACAUCAACAACGCCGUCGAAUCAAAAGUUCCGAUAAGGCCACCGCGGUUUUCGUCAGACGGUGAUUCAUCGCAGAGUCUCGUGCCACGUCUGCUGAGAGGCCAGGACUGAUGUCGUCAGCGGCUGCACGAACGGAUUAGGCGUAGUCGCUGCGUUGGCACACGCUCUUGCGGUUAUAAAUCUCACGUGGCUCGCCAACGCCUCACGGCUCCCUAUCAGCAAGCCCCGAGUCUGUUCGCCGCUGCCACAACCCACGUCUUAGUACGACAUGCGUGACGCUAUUCGGUGUCCCCAAUAGGCUGUAGGUAACUGGUCAUGUCGAUGCUGGAAUCGAUGGUGCACGAACGUUGAUUCGAGAGUGAAUGAAUCGGAAGUGUCUACCCUCUGCGCCAGCAGGUGCGGCGGUGACACCGGACCGCAAACGGACGGUAGCAGCUGGUCGCCGCGUUUUAUAGGAAGGGACGACAGCUCAUUAAUUAGAACGUCUCUGCAAGGGAGUCUCCCGGGCAACUGAUGGGGGGCGGCAAUGCCACAGCGAUAGGAAGGGGUGAGUAUGGGCAUGGGUGGGAGAGUGGUGUGGCAUGUGUAGUCGACCGGCUUUGCGAGAGACGGGAUGUUAGCAUGAAGGGAGUGGCGGGGGUGUCGAGGUGGAUGAUAUGUGCGCGUUCGAGAGCGUGUGCGUCGAUGCAGGGCCUCAUGGGGAGCACUGGAAGUGGUCGCGAGAACCACUAGUCUGCUGGGGAGACGACAUGUCGCCGCGACACCAGCUGGGGCGUGACUGCUUGUUCGCUGUCGGUGUUUUGAAGCACCUGGGUGGAUGAGCAGCCUGGCUUUUACCCGCCGUUGUCUUGUUCCGAUUCAGGGUGACACAGUAAGUGAUUGGGGGGUUGCUGUUGAAAAAGGAAUGAGAGGCCAUUGGUGGGGGGGACCGGUGGCGAACUGUGUGCGGGUGGGACCAGCGACUGUGCCGAUAUAUGAGUGCGUUGAGUACUGUGAGGCGAGGCGCUCGAACCAGCGGCGGAGGUCGGGGCGCAGGCAGCGUAUUUGGGGUCGGACCGUUUGAAGAGGAUGUGGAUGGGCGGCCGGCGUGACGGGGGACGAGAUUCUUCAGCAAGACGUUCAGAUCCCAAGCACGGUGAAAAGGCCACCGCUUUUUUCGUCCCUGGGUGAAACUACGGACCUGUCGCUCGAGUUUCCGUACCGGUCAUUGGGAUGCGGGGUAGGGAAACAGCAACCAUGUCGUAUGACGGUCCGGGUCUUGUGUUUGAUCGAGGACGUCGAUAGCAGCUACACGUCAUGUAGCGUAUUGCCCGCCCGAGUCGAGAAUAGUAGGGUAGCGCGUUGUAACACGUCCGUUCGUACAGCACGACCAGACGAACCUUGUCCUCGCAGAGCAGUCGAUACCCAGUGAUCUUUGGAAGUGGGCCUCAAAUGGCUCUUGAGGUCUUCGUUCUGUCCCGCCUUUCGUUAGUCUUUCAGAUCGCUCAUGCGUUUUUGUUUUGGUGCCGGUAGUAGGAGCGGGGUUGCGUCUGGGCCGGAGUGCAACGUGCAGCGUGGCUGUCAUCGAUGGGAGGGCGUCGAUGAGGGUGGAGUCAGGUGGAUGGUUGGAGAAAAGCAGUUACUUCGGUGUGUCAAUCAGGCGCGCCGGUGUCCCGACAUCUGUUUUUUGCCAGGUGUUGUCGGGUGUUCUCUCACUAAUGGAACAUCAGUAAUGAGAGGCAGCUGAGUCGCAACAAUGUGUCUUCGUGUUGAUCGUGGGCAGGAACGGAUUAGGCGUAGUCGCUGCGUUGGCACACGCUCUUGCGGUUAUAACUCUCACGUGGCUCGCCAACGCCUCACGGCUCCCUAUCAGCAAGCCCCGAGUCUGUUCGCCGCUGCCACAACCCACGUCUUAGUACGACAUGCGUGACGCUAUUCGGUGUCCCCAAUAGGCUGUAGGCAACUGGUCAUGUCGAUGCUGGAAUCGAUGGUGCACGAACGUUGAUUCGAGAGUGAAUGAAUCGGAAGUGUCUACCCUCUGCGCCAGCAGGUGCGGCGGUGACACCGGACCGCAAACGGACGGUAGCAGCUGGUCGCCGCGUUUUAUAGGAAGGGACGACAGCUCAUUAAUUAGAACGUCUCUGCAAGGGAGUCUCCCGGGCAACUGAUGGGGGGCGGCAAUGCCACAGCGAUAGGAAGGGGGUGACACAGGGUCCCGGUAUUCCGCGGAUGAGCAAUAUUGCGUCUCAUUUCCAAGCACCUCGUGACGGUCACCGGUGCACUGCGGCGCUAAUGUGGGACAGGCCUUCGAGAGAAUAGCCGGUUUCUUGGAGAACACGACUGGGUGAGGCGGGUGACCGCUGACGUUUCCAGACACGUCACGAUUGGCGAAUGCGGUCUUGGUUCGCAGUCUGUAAGCAGCCGUCGAAGGGUCUGUGAAAUUUAGGGUGGGACAGCGUUUUCAGAGGGAGGGUGAAUCAGUUGUCUCUCCACGACACGACAUCCGGUUUGACGAACGACACCGAAAGACGGAAGACCGACGGCAACAGUUCGUUGCUCUCGAUAGGAAGGGGCGAUGGCUCGUGAGAGCGCCUGUGCACGGUUUCUGCGCGGGAUUCAUUAGAGGCUGGAACGGUGUCACAAAGAUUGGAAGGGUUGAAUCUGGUCUUUGGGUGGAUUGCGAUUUGGUAUAAGCAGUCGGCGGCCUUUUGCGAUGGCCGGGAUGUUAGCAUGAGAACGGCAGAGAUGUGGGAUUGGGAGAUUGUACGCACAGUCGAGAGCGUGUGCAUCGACGUCGGUCUUCACGGGGCACAUGUGAAUUGGUUGUGGGGAGCAGCAGACUGUUGUGCGAGGAGAUGGCAUUCUAACGCGACCAGUGCGAGACCAGUGUAUCACCGGUUCAGACAGAUUUGAGUGUUAACAUCGUAGGCGCGGCUUAGGGGCUGUUUCUGCCUUGUUCAGCGUCCAUUGGUAGGUAGACAUCAGUUUGUGGUUAGAGAUGGAAUGCGAGCUUUUUGCUUGGGAGAGCUGACGAACGGUAUGAAAAUGAGACCAACGACUCUAGAGGUGUGUCAGCACGUUCAUCAAAGUGAUGCAAGGGCU
rnacentral:lncRNA from 1 species